UACCAGCACCCCGAGUGGUCGGGACGUUUAUUGGGCCUAAAGCAUCCGUAGCCGGUUCUACAAGUCUUCCGUUAAAUCCAGCUGCUUAACAGAUGGGCUGCGGAAGAUACUAUGGAGCUAGGAGGCGGGAGAGGCAAGCGGUACUCGAUGGGUAGGGGUAAAAUCCGUUGAUCCAUUGAAGACCACCAGUGGCGAAGGCGGCUUGACAGAACGCGCUCGACGGUGAGGGAUGAAAGCUGGGGGAGCAAACCGG
rnacentral:rRNA from 1 species